rnacentral:rRNA from 1 species
UACGAAGGGGGCUAGCGUUGCUCGGAAUCACUGGGCGUAAAGGGCGCGUAGGCGGCCUGAUAAGUCGGGGGUGAAAGCCUGUGGCUCAACCACAGAAUUGCCUUCGAUACUGUUGGGCUUGAGACCGGAAGAGGUAAGUGGAACUGCGAGUGUAGAGGUGAAAUUCGUAGAUAUUCGCAAGAACACCAGUGGCGAAGGCGGCUUACUGGUCCGGAUCUGACGCUGAGGCGCGAAAGCGUGGGGAGCGAACAGG